UACAGAGGUCUCGAGCGUUGUUCGGAUUCAUUGGGCGUAAAGGGUGCGUAGGUGGCGCUGUAAGUCGGGUGUGAAAUCCUGAGGCUUAACCUCGGAACUGCAUUCGAUACUGCGGUGCUUGAGGACUGGAGAGGAGACUGGAAUUCAUGGUGUAGCAGUGAAAUGCGUAGAGAUCAUGAGGAAGACCAGUGGCGAAGGCGGGUCUCUGGACAGUUCCUGACGCUGAGGCACGAAGGUCAGGGGAGCAAACGGG
rnacentral:rRNA from 1 species